rnacentral:rRNA from 1 species
AAUUUUCUGCAAUGGGCGAAAGCCUGACAGAGCAAUACCGCGUGAGGGAAUAAGAAGGCCCAUCGGGUUGUAAACCUCUUUUGUCAAGGAAGAAGAUCUGACAUUACUUGACGAAUAAGCAUCGGCUAACUCCGUGCCAGCAGCCGCGGUAAGACGGGGGAUGCAAGUGUUAUCCGGAAUUACUGGGCGUAAAGCGUUUGUAGGUGGUUUAGUAAGUCUAUUAUUAAAUCUUGAAGCUUAACUUCAAAACUGUAAUAGAAACUAUUAAACUAGAGAAUCGGAGGGGUAAAGGGAAUUUCCAGUGGAGCGGUGAAAUGCGUAGAGAUUGGAAGGACCACCGAAGGCGAAGGCACUUUACUGGGCUAUUUCUGACACUUAGAGACGAAAGCUAGGGGAGCAAAUGGGAUUAGAUACCCCAGUAGUCCUAGCUGUA